CGGAGUGAGGGCGGGGCCGCGUGCGCAGGCGCCGGGGGCGCGCUUCGCUGAGGAACGGCUCAGUGCGGCGGGAUCGUGGCGCCCACCUGGCUCUAGCUUGGGACUCAGGGACUGACGCGGCGACCACUGCCCUCAGUUACUGCUGAGCGUCAGGAGGGAUGUUGGGGGCCGAGGGCACCAGGGAGGGUUGGCACAGAGGGGCUGCAGCGCUUCCUGGACGGAGUGCCCGCAGAGUACCCGUAGCUGGAGACCCGGCCGGGGCCGGACGCGGACUUCCCUGGUGGCACAGUCGUUAAGAAUCUGCCUGCCAAUGCAGGGGACACGGGUUCGAGGCCUGGUCUGGGAAGAUCCCACAUGCUGCGAUGCAACUAAGCCCAUGCGCCACAACUACUGAGCCUGCACUCUAGAGCCUGUGAGCCACAAUUACUGAGCCUGCGUGCCACAACUACUGAAGCCCACGCGCCUAGAGCCCAUGCUUCGCAGCAAGAGAAGCCACCACAAUGAGAAGCCUGCACACUGCAACAAAGAGUAGCCCCUGCUCUGCAAUUAGAGAAAACCCGUGCACAGCAACAAAGACCCAAUGCAGCCAAAAAUAAAUAAAUAAAUAAAUUUAUUUUUAAAACAUUUAA